UGGGGAAUAUUGCACAAUGGGCGCAAGCCUGAUGCAGCCAUGCCGCGUGUAUGAAGAAGGCCUUCGGGUUGUAAAGUACUUUCAGCGGGGAGGAAGGCGAUAAGGUUAAUAACCUUGUCGAUUGACGUUACCCGCAGAAGAAGCACCGGCUAACUCCGUGCCAGCAGCCGCGGUAAUACGGAGGGUGCAAGCGUUAAGCGGAAUUACUGGGCGUAAAGCGCACGCAGGCGGUCUGUCAAGUCGGAUGUGAAAUCCCCGGGCUCAACCUGGGAACUGCAUUCGAAACUGGCAGGCUAGAGUCUUGUAGAGGGGGGUAGAAUUCCAGGUGUAGCGGUGAAAUGCGUAGAGAUCUGGAGGAAUACCGGUGGCGAAGGCGGCCCCCUGGACAAAGACUGACGCUCAGGUGCGAAAGUGUGGGGAGCAAACA
rnacentral:rRNA from 1 species